UGGGGAAUAUUGGGCAAUGGGCGCAAGCCUGACCCAGCAAUGCCGCGUGGGUGAAGAAGGUCUUCGGAUUGUAAAGCCCUUUCGGCGGGGACGAUGGUGACGGUACCCGCAGAAGAAGCCCCGGCCAACUUCGUGCCAGCAGCCGCGGUAAUACGAAGGGGGCUAGCGUUGCUCGGAAUCACUGGGCGUAAAGGGCGCGUAGGCGGCGCUUCUAGUCGGGCGUGAAAUCCCCGGGCUCAACCCGGGGGCUGCGCCCGAUACGGGGGCGCUCGAGGCGGGGAGAGGGCCGCGGAAUUCCCAGUGUAGAGGUGAAAUUCGUAGAUAUUGGGAAGAACACCGGUGGCGAAGGCGGCGGCCUGGCCCCGAUCUGACGCUGAGGCGCGACAGCGUGGGGAGCAAA
rnacentral:rRNA from 1 species